UCCGUAGGUGAACCUGCAGAAGGAUCAUUA
rnacentral:ncRNA from 2 species